UUGGCUCCUUAUUUACAAAUGUCCCAAUUUCUAAUGACACAGAUAUCAGCAUGGCCCCUGCGCAAGGAUGACCUACCAGUUCAUGAAAUGUUCUAUAUUUUU